AAAAAUAAAAUGAAAGAAAACAAGGGAGAAAGAAAAUAGAUAAAAAAUAUUUAUAGAUGGAUUAUAUGAAAAACAUCAGUGCGAUUGUUUCAAAAUAAAGUGGGGUAUUUAAAAAAGAGGAAAAGUGACUUGGAAAAAAUAAAUAAAAAUAAGUGAUUUUUGAAAUCAAAUGGAGAAGAGG